rnacentral:pre_miRNA from 1 species
AGCCACUGACUAACGCACAUUGCGCUGUGUUUGAAUACCACUGUGCGUGUGACAGCGGCUAA